rnacentral:tRNA from 1 species
GCCGACGUGGCGGAAUUGGCAGACGCAGGGGACUUAAAAUCCCCUGGCCCUAGGGCCGUGUGGGUUCGAGUCCCACCGUCGGCACCA